UCCAAUGACAAAUAAGUAUAUUAUUGAUAAUGAGGAGGAAAACAAUCAAUUAUACUUAAAGUGAGUAUAAUACAAUAAUAACGCGUUCACUAGCGAUAUUGAGUCGUUUCAUCUUACCGUCCAAAUGGAAUCUAUGCAACUGGCUAUACACAAGAUGGACCACAGCCUGCCGUUUCCAACGGGAACAAAUUAGUCAUAGUGGGCAUUGGCAUUUAAAAAAAGUUUUGCAAAGGGUAAAGUCUACAAAACUUAGUCCACUCUGUUCAUAACAUAUUCUAGUUUUGAGAACAGAAAACUGUAUUGAGAUCAAAUGUUUCAUCGAUGACAAAAUUUGGGGAAUGUCGGCCAAAAUCCAUCUCGUUCCAUCUUCUCCCACUGCUGGCCAGUGGGCUUCCUCUCACAACCAUAUUUGGUAGUGAGGGGAAACGCCAAGUGGAUGCUUCACAUUUAUACAUCCGGGUGAAAUAGCUGUCUCAUUGUUCUAUCUGUGCUCAUAUCCCCCAUGGACUGGUUUGUACAUAAAAUAAUCUCCAUUCAUGCUGCAAAGUAGAGUUCUGCUACCCGACAUUAAACUUCAUGUUAGGGGUGGGUAAGGCCUGUUUUUAAUCCAUAACUAAGGUACGGGCAGGGCUCGGGUAUCACUAAAUUGAUCAAUAACAUUUUGAAGCCGAGCCAUUUGCUCAUGCUCUGCUGCGCAAUACAGUCAUAUCUGACUACGAUCUGAACCAGAAUAUGGCUUUACAGGACACAUGGAAUAUGGCGAUUCUCCUUAAGCCCAGGAAGCAACCGUUCAACUUGCCAUUCACCAGCUUUUCAAGCUUAAAGGGAAAUUUCACCCUUGCUCUGCCACGGCAUAUAGUCAUUACUAUAUUAAAAACAUGACAUUUUUUAUCUUAAACAUUAUCCAAACCGCAAGCUAGAACUAGCACAUUUUCAUUUCACUGGUAGAAUUAUGAAGUUUUGACUUCCUGUAUAUUUGUCUGCUCAUAAUGAACCACAAAGUCCGGCAUUAAUAGCAAAUGCAGAUACUGCCCACUAAGGUAGAUGGGGCAUGCUCACAAACUUGGACGAUGGCAUUGUGUACUUCAAAUGAACAACAUCCCAGCAAUCUCAGAACUUCUGUGGGACCACAGAGCACCUUUCAGACCAUGUAAUCAAUUUAAUACUCAGGUUAUCUGGAGUCAUUCCACACAACCUGCUGAAAAACACCCCAAAGUGGCGGCAUUUUGGGUACAAAAGCAUGAGGGAGCGGGCACACAUUGCGAUUAUGGAGCACAAGAUUGUGGGACAGAAACCAGCAGGGGACACCGAAAGGAGACAUGCAGUACCAGCAAAUCUUCUGCAAGAGGUCCAAAAAGUUGGUGGUUAAGAAGACCUACACCGCAUUCGGUAGAGUCUUAUCCAGCUGGCCGUUCACCGCAGACAGGACAAGACCAUUCGCCAUAAGCACAAAGAGUCUCAGCUUCCCCAGCCCACCAUGCCAAACAUCAUUGCCAGUGUACCGAAGCCGGAUAAAGGACUAUCGCUGCGUUUACACAAGCAGCCAAAUUCUGAUUUUUUUUUUUGACUAAUUGGUAUUUUGACCAAUUAGAUCGGUUCUGAAAAAUAUCUGAUGUGAUUAAGACCAAUUAGUGGGAAAAAGAUCAGAAUUGGGCGGCCUGUGUAAACAAAGCCAGUAUUGCUCAGCAUAAGACCGUGUAGAACCACCAUCAAAUAAAUAUGGAUAUUUUCUAUCAA